GGUGGUUCAGUGGUAGACUUCUUGCCUUCCAUGCGAGAGACCUGGGUUUAAUUCCCAGCC
rnacentral:tRNA from 1 species